AACUUUCAGCAACGGAUCACUUGGCUCUCGCAUCGAUGAAGAACGCAGCGAAAUGCGAGAAGUAAUGUGAAUUGCAGAAUUCAGUGAAGCAUCGAAUCUUUGAACGCAUCUUGCGCUCCUUGGUAUUCCGAGGAGCAUGCCUGUUUGAGUGUCAUUCAAGUUCUCAAACCAUGUUGAUUGUUUUCAAUGUGGCUUGGAUGUGGGGGUGUGCAGGCCUUUUGAAGGGUCAGCUCCCCUGAAAUGCAUUAGUGGUAUCCGAGCAGAUAAACUACCACAGGUGUGAUAAAAUGUAUCUAUGCCUUGGUGAGCUGCAUGAAAUGGAUUGCACUGCUCAUAACAAGUGGCUGACCGUGCCACGCUUUGAUGAAUUUGACCUCAAAUCAGGUAGGACUACCCGCUGAACUUAAGCAUAUCAAUAAGCGGAGGCU
rnacentral:misc_RNA from 1 species